AGAGUUUGAUCAUGGCUCAGAACGAACGCUGGCGGCAUGCCUAACACAUGCAAGUCGAACGAGACCUUCGGGUCUAGUGGCGCACGGGUGCGUAACGCGUGGGGAUCUGCCCUUUGCUUCGGAAUAACAGUUAGAAAUGACUGCUAAUACCGGAUGAUGACUUCGGUCCAAAGAUUUAUCGGCAAAGGAUGAACCCGCGUAGGAUUAGCUAGUUGUGGGGUAAAGGCCUACCAAGGCGACGAUCCUUAGCUGGUCUGAGAGGAUGAUCAGCCACACUGGGACUGAGACACGGCCCAGACUCCUACGGGAGGCAGCAGUGGGGAAUAUUGGACAAUGGCGAAAGCCUGAUCCAGCAAUGCCGCGUGAGUGAUGAAGGCCUUAGGGUUGUAAAGCUCUUUUACCCGGGAUGAUAAUGACAGUACCGGGAGAAUAAGCUCCGGCUAACUCCGUG
rnacentral:rRNA from 1 species